rnacentral:rRNA from 1 species
GGGGGGGCAAGCGUUGCUCGGAAUUACUGGGCGUAAAGGGCGCGCAGGCGGUUUCGUCAGUCAUGGGUGUAAGCCCCGGGCUCAACCCGGGAAUGGCCUGUGAAACCACGGAACUGGAGUGCUGGAGAGGGAAGCGGAAUUCCCAGUGUAGCGGUGAAAUGCGUAGAUAUUGGGAGGAACAUCGGUGGCGAAGGCGGCUUCCUGGACAGACACUGACGCUGAGGCGCGAAAGCCAGGGGAGCGAACGGGAUUAGAUACCCCGGUAGUCCUGGCUGUAAACGAUGAAUACUUGGUGUAGGGGGUAGGAAAGUCCCCUCUGUGCCGAAGAGAACUCGAUAAGUAUUCCGCCUGGGGAGUACGGCCGCAAGGCUG